GGCUCAGGACGAACGCUGGCGGCGUGCCUAAUACAUGCAAGUCGAGCGGACAGAUGGGAGCUUGCUCCCUGAUGUUAGCGGCGGACGGGUGAGUAACACGUGGGUAACCUGCCUGUAAGACUGGGAUAACUCCGGGAAACCGGGGCUAAUACCGGAUGGUUGUUUGAACCGCAUGGUUCAAACAUAAAAGGUGGCUUCGGCUACCACUUACAGAUGGACCCGCGGCGCAUUAGCUAGUUGGUGAGGUAAUGGCUCACCAAGGCAACGAUGCGUAGCCGACCUGAGAGGGUGAUCGGCCACACUGGGACUGAGACACGGCCCAGACUCCUACGGGAGGCAGCAGUAGGGAAUCUUCCGCAAUGGACGAAAGUCUGACGGAGCAACGCCGCGUGAGUGAUGAAGGUUUUCGGAUCGUAAAGCUCUGUUGUUAGGGAAGAACAAGUACCGUUCGAAUAGGGCGGUACCUUGACGGUACCUAACCAGAAAGCCACGGCUAACUACGUGCCAGCAGCCGCGGUAAUACGUAGGUGGCAAGCGUUGUCCGGAAUUAUUGGGCGUAAAGGGCUCGCAGGCGGUUUCUUAAGUCUGAUGUGAAAGCCCCCGGCUCAACCGGGGAGGGUCAUUGGAAACUGGGGAACUUGAGUGCAGAAGAGGAGAGUGGAAUUCCACGUGUAGCGGUGAAAUGCGUAGAGAUGUGGAGGAACACCAGUGGCGAAGGCGACUCUCUGGUCUGUAACUGACGCUGAGGAGCGAAAGCGUGGGGAGCGAACAGGAUUAGAUACCCUGGUAGUCCACGCCGUAA
rnacentral:rRNA from 1 species